AGACCCGAAACCCGGUGAUCUAGCCAUGGGCAGGUUGAAGGUUGGGUAACACUAACUGGAGGACCGAACCGACUAAUGUUGAAAAAUUAGCGGAUGACCUGUGGCUGGGGGUGAAAGGCCAAUCAAACCGGGAGAUAGCUGGUUCUCCCCGAAAGCUAUUUAGGUAGCGCCUCGUGAAUUCAUCUCCGGGGGUAGAGCACUGUUUCGGCUAGGGGGCCAUCCCGGCUUACCAACCCGAUGCAAACUGCGAAUACCGGAGAAUGUUAUCACGGGAGACACACGGCGGGUGCUAACGUCCGUCGUGAAGAGGGAAACAACCCAGACCGCCAGCUAAGGUCCCAAAGUCAUGGUUAAGUGGGAAACGAUGUGGGAAGGCCCAGACAGCCAGGAUGUUGGCUUAGAAGCAGCCAUCAUUUAAAGAAAGCGUAAUAGCUCACUGGUCGAGUCGGCCUGCGCGGAAGAUGUAACGGGGCUAAACCAUGCACCGAAGCUGCGGCAGCGACACUGUGUGUUGUUGGGUAGGGGAGCGUUCUGUAAGCCUGUGAAGGUGUGUCGUGAGGCAUGCUGGAGGUAUCAGAAGUGCGAAUGCUGACAUAAGUAACGAUAAAGCGGGUGAAAAGCCCGCUCGCCGGAAGACCAAGGGUUCCUGUCCAACGUUAAUCGGGGCAGGGUGAGUCGACCCCUAAGGCGAGGCCGAAAGGCGUAGUCGAUGGGAAACGGGUUAAUAUUCCCGUACUUGGUGUUACUGCGAAGGGGGGACGGAGAAGGCUAUGUUGGCCGGGCGACGGUUGUCCCGGUUUAAGCGUGUAGGUGUGUGUUCCAGGUAAAUCCGGUUCACUUUAACACUGAGGCGUGACGACGAGGCACUACGGUGCUGAAGCAACAAAUGCCCUGCUUCCAGGAAAAGCCUCUAAGCAUCAGGUAACAUCAAAUCGUACCCCA
rnacentral:rRNA from 2 species